rnacentral:rRNA from 1 species
GUCCUUUUGAUUUUUAUAUAAGGUCUGACCUGCCCUAUGAAUAUUUAAAUGGCCGCGGUAUACUAACCGUGCAAAGGUAGCAUAGUCAUUUGUCUCUUAAUUGGAGGCUUGAAUGAAGGGUUGGACGAGAUAUAAGCUUUCUUUGUUAUAUUUUAUUGAAUUUGACUUUUGAGUUAAAAGGCUUAAAUUUUUUUAUAGGACGCGAAGACCCUAUAGAAUUUUAUAUAUUUGUAUAAUCGAUUUAUUUAUUUAUUAUUUAAUUUUUUGUUUAAAUAUAUUUUGUUGGGGCGAUGGGAAGAUUUUAAUAACUCUUUUUUUUCUAAUCAUUGAUUUAUGUUUUAUUCUGAUCCUUUUUUAGAGAUUAUAAGAUUAAAUUACCUUAGGGAUAACAGCGUAAUUCUUUUGGAGAGUUCUUAUCGAUAAAAGAGUUUGCGA